rnacentral:rRNA from 1 species
CAGGUAGGCGGUUUGGUAAGUCUGUUGUGAAAGCUCCCGGCUCAACUGGGAGAGGCCAACGGAAACUACCAGGCUAGAGUGUGGUAGAGGUAGCUGGAAUUCCCGGUGUAGCGGUGAAAUGCGUAGAUAUCGGGAGGAAUACCUAUGGCGAAAGCAGGCUACUGGACCAUCACUGACGCUGAUCUGCGAAAGCUAGGGGAGCAAACAGGAUUAGAUACCCUGGUAGUCCUAGCCCUAAACGAUGCUCAUUAGGUGUGGAAGGUAUCGACCCCUCCCGCGCCGAAGCUAACGCAUUAAAUGAGCCGCCUGGGGAGUACGGCCGCAAGGUUGAA